UACGUAGGGGGCUAGCGUUGUCCGGAAUCAUUGGGCGUAAAGAGCGUGUAGGCGGCCAGACAGGUCCGUUGUGAAAACUCGAGGCUCAACCUCGAGACGCCGAUGGAAACCGUCUGGCUAGAGUCCGGAAGAGGAGAGUGGAAUUCCUGGUGUAGCGGUGAAAUGCGCAGAUAUCAGGAGGAACACCAAUGGCGAAGGCAGCUCGCUGGGACGGUACUGACGCUGAGACGCGAAAGCGUGGGGAGCAAACAGG
rnacentral:rRNA from 1 species